rnacentral:rRNA from 1 species
CACGUGGGGAACCUGCCCCAUAGUCUGGGAUACCACUUGGAAACAGGUGCUAAUACCGGAUAAGAAAGCAGAUCGCAUGAUCAGCUUUUAAAAGGCGGCGUAAGCUGUCGCUAUGGGGUGGCCCCGCGGUGCAUUAGCUAGUUGGUAAGGUAAAGGCUUACCAAGGCGAUGAUGCAUAGCCGAGUUGAGAGACUGAUCGGCCACAUUGGGACUGAGACACGGCCCAAACUCCUACGGGAGGCAGCAGAC